CCUACGGGCGGCAGCAGUGGGGAAUAUUGCACAAUGGGGGAAACCCUGAUGCAGCAAAGCCGCGUGAAGGAAGACGGUUUUCCGAUUGUAAACUUCUGUUCUUAGUGAAGAAUAAUGACGGUAGCUAAGGCUCAAGCCACGGCUAAGUACGUGACAGCAGCCGCGGUACUAAGUAGGGGGCAAGCGUUGUCCGGAAUUACUGGGUGUAAAGGGAGCGCAGGCGGGAAGCCAAGUCAGCUGUGAAAACUACGGGCUUAACUUGUAGACUGCAGUUGAAACUGGUUUUCUUGAGUGAAGUAGAGGUUGGCGGAAUGCCGGGUGUAGCGGUGAAAUGCGUAGAUAUUCGGAGGAACACCGGUGGCGAAGGCAGCCAACUGGGCUUUAACUGACGCUGAGGCUCGAAAGUGUGGGGAGCAAACAGGAUUAGAUACCCUUGUAGUC
rnacentral:rRNA from 1 species